GGGGAAAAGUCAUGGGAAGCAGGUAGCCAAAGGGGACAGGGUCAUGAAAAGGAAAAGGUCGGCAGCCAACCAAGCCCCAGCUGAUGAGGAUUGGCAAACUGGGUGGAAAUAAGGGAAAUGAAAGCAGCUGCCACAC